AAUGGGCGAAAGCCUGACCCAGCAACGCCGCGUGGGUGAUGAAGCUAUUCGGAGUGUAAAACCCUUUUGUGCAAGACGAAGCCGCGGGGAACAAUACGCCCCGCGGGUGACGGUAUUGCGCGAAUCAGCCCCGGCUAAUUCCGUGCCAGCAGCCGCGGUAAUACGGAGGGGGCGAGCGUUGUUCGGAAUUACUGGGCGUAAAGGGCGCGUAGGCGGUUCCGUAAGUCAGAUGUGGAAGCCCACGGCUUAACCGGGGAACUGCGUUUGAGACUGGGGGACUGGAGUAUGGGAGAGGAGAGCGGAAUUCCCAGUGUAGCGGUGAAAUGCGUAGAUAUUGGGAGGAACACCGGUGGCGAAGGCGGCUCUCUGGAACAUAACUGACGCUGAGGCGCGAAAGCGUGGGGAGCAAA
rnacentral:rRNA from 1 species